CUGCUCGUGGCGAAGUUGGAUAUCGCAUCAGAUUCCGAUUCUGAAGGUCGUGGGUUCGAAUCCCUCCGAGCAGGCCA
rnacentral:tRNA from 1 species